UACGUAGGGACCAAGCGUUGUUCGGAUUUACUGGGCGUAAAGGGCGCGUAGGCGGCAAUUCAAGUCAGCUGUGAAAUCCCCGGGCUUAACCUGGGAACUGCAUUUGUGACUGCAUCGCUGGAGUGCGGCAGAGGGGGAUGGAAUUCCGCGUGUAGCAGUGAAAUGCGUAGAUAUGCGGAGGAACACCGAUGGCGAAGGCAAUCCCCUGGGCCUGCACUGACGCUCAUGCACGAAAGCGUGGGGAGCAAACAGG
rnacentral:rRNA from 1 species